UUACGGGGGUGAAGCAGUUCUGAGCAGUGGUUUUCUGCUCCUGAGAGAAACUUCUUUAGCAUUUGUGGUGGGACCAGUGGCCCCUUCCAGCAUCGCAAACCUCUCACAGUGUUUUCAUGGUCAAGGGAAUAGGACAGCGCCAACCCAGAGGAGGGUAAGAUGAGAAGAGAGCGCAGAGCUGUUUUGGGUGGAGGCUGCAGGAAGGCUGCUUUCGGCUUGUUGUAAGGAAGAAUUCUGUUCUAGUUGGAGACACACAGUGGAGGUUAUGGCAGGGAGAUGAGCUUCCCUGCCCCAGACGUGUGCAACUUCCAGCAGAGCUUCUUGUGCAGAGUGGGGCGUGCACUGGAUCCCUGCACCCACGUGCUGUGAGUCAGCGUCCGCCUGUGUCCCACCCCUGCGGCACACUCUCCCAGAGCUGCCCGCUGUGCUUGGGGUCACGCCGUGACUCCUGCCGCCACCUCCUAGGCCUUCUGUGAGUUGGCCCCAGGCUCACCUCUUGUCGUCCCACCACACCGCCAGCUGUCCAGGCCCUUCCCCUGGAAUCUCUUUUUCCUAAGCCCUGAGAAUGAAUCAGGUGUUUCCUCUUGUCCUUCCCACUUCUGAACACUACACUAUGAUUGUGACUCACAACGCUGGAAGCAGCCAGAGGACAGGGAAACGUCUGCUCGUCUGUCCCAGAGCCCUGCCUGGCACCUGGUGAGUGUUCAGUGUCUGACCUCCGCACACGGGAAAUGCACCCACCACACACCACCAAGGACUCAGAUGUGCUGCCUAUCAUUUGGACAUCAUCGUGGGAAUACAUAGGAGAGAGGGGGCCUCUGCUUGAGCAGUGAUGAGAGACUCACUCCCCACACUCCCCCCACACUUCCUCCAUCUUUGCUAAUAAUAAAAUGUUUUUUUUUAUGUUAA